rnacentral:lncRNA from 10 species
CACAGAUGGUGGAAGAAAACCUGAGGAAAGCGGGACAACCAGUCACAAUGAGUAAUUUAAUGAUAGCUAUGAGAGCGGUGAUCACCAUUGCUUCUGCAGAUGCAGAUCCUGACUCCUGCGAGAAGUAGCUCACCGUGAUAAAGCUGCCUUUGCUUUUAUUGCCCUGCAAAAACAAGAAGGGGGAUAUGCUGGGGAAUAGGCCCCCAAAUCUGGACAUAAACUGGCCCCAAAACUGGCCAUAAACAAAAUCUCUGCAGCGCUGUGACAUGUUCAUGGUGGCCAUAACGCCCAUGCUGGAAGGCUGUGGUUUACCGGAAUGAGAGCGAGGAACACCUGGCCUAUCCAGGGCGGAAAACCACUUAUAGGUAUUCCUAAACCACAAACAACCUAUGCCUUAAGGACAUGUUCCUGCUGCAGAUAACUAGCCAGAGCCCAUCCCUUUGUUUCGGCCCAUCCUUUUGUUUCCUGUAAGGAGUGCUUUUAGUUAAUCUAUAAUCUAUAGAAACAAUACUUAUCACUGGCUUGCUGUCAAUAAAUA